AGUGAACGCUGGCGGUAGGCCUAACACAUGCAAGUCGAACGGCAGCACAGUAAGAGCUUGCUCUUACGGGUGGCGAGUGGCGGACGGGUGAGGAAUACAUCGGAAUCUACUUUUUCGUGGGGGAUAACGUAGGGAAACUUACGCUAAUACCGCAUACGACCUACGGGUGAAAGCAGGGGAUCUUCGGACCUUGCGCGAUUGAAUGAGCCGAUGUCGGAUUAGCUAGUUGGCGGGGUAAAGGCCCACCAAGGCGACGAUCCGUAGCUGGUCUGAGAGGAUGAUCAGCCACACUGGAACUGAGAUACGGUCCAGACUCCUACGGGAGGCAGCAGCGGGGAAUAUUGGACAAUGGGCGCAAGCCUGAUCCAGCCAUACCGCGUGGGUGAAGAAGGCCUUCGGGUUGUAAAGCCCUUUUGUUGGGAAAGAAAAGCAGCAGGUUAAUACCCCGCUGUUCUGACGGUACCCAAAGAAUAAGCACCGGCUAACUUCGUG
rnacentral:rRNA from 1 species